UACGUAGGGGGCAAGCGUUGUCCGGAAUCAUUGGGCGUAAAGCGCGUGUAGGCGGUUCGGUAAGUCUGCUGUGAAAGUCCAGGGCUCAACCCUGGGAUGCCGGUGGAUACUGUCGGACUAGAGUACGGAAGAGGCGAGUGGAAUUCCCGGUGUAGCGGUGAAAUGCGCAGAUAUCGGGAGGAACACCAAUUGCGAAGGCAGCUCGCUGGGACGUUACUGACGCUGAGACGCGAAAGCGUGGGGAGCAAACGGG
rnacentral:rRNA from 1 species